UUACUUCAAACUAGCGACAUAUACAAUUCCUCAGGUAUCCAAUUCUACGAUCAAUCUUAUAAAUGGUUAAAAAACAUGUAUAUGACUGUAGAAUUGUGGCGUGAGAAAUAAAGCACAGGGCAAAGGUUUUACAAGUUUAUUUGGUCUUUCACUGAGUUUGCCAAGCAGCUACUGGACAUGAGUAACAGAUCUCUAGUGUGGUAAGUGAACUAUACCUUGAGAGACAAUGCUCUCACCAUGCACUGAUAAAAACAUUUACUGACUCAUCAUACGAAAAUAAAAUGUAACUUCCCAAGCUUUUAAGGGUCAACACAAAGACAAAUUCAUUUACAAUACCGAUGUAUAAAUUUAUAAAACCAUUAACAUUAUUUUACAAAAUUCUAAAAAAUCUGCAUCAAGUGAAAUAUCCUUUUUUUUUGUGAAAACAAAAUUUAAUAUUUACAGCUUUUUUAACAUGUUGAUGUUGAUCCAGUUAACUAUUCGGAAACUGCGACAAAACUACUAACGGAACGUUGAGCACACCACACGCACUGGCACACAAACGUACAAAUCAGGACUGAUCCAAAUACACAUAAUUAUAUAUUACCAUAAGAAUAAAUGGAAAAGAAACCCAAACAUUGUUAACCUACGACAGUAAGUCCUAGACGAGCUUACACUGUUUGUCAUCCCCUCAGCGCUACGAGUAACCCGACGAACAAAGACAACCAAAGCCUCACACACACUACAGUCUUUCCAAACAAUAGCGAGAAAAUUAUGGCAUUAGUCUAGCCUUAGCCGCUAAAUAAGUCAAUUAAAGAACUAAUUUCAAUUUAUAUAAUAGGACACAGGCAUUGUAACAUAUAGAAAUUAAAAGCUAAAGACAAAUUUACGUGAUAUAAGCAAUUAAUGCACAUAUUUAAUUAAGUAUGACAUUGAUUAAUAUAUAGUAACAAAAAUUUAUACAUACAUUAAAAAUGCACCAAUACUAAAUAGAUAAUAAUUAAACUAGCUCUGUUUGGAAGAUUUUCUCCAUAAACACAUUUUAAAAUAAAAUUUAGCCUUCCAUUCAGUACUGAACAAGAAUUGUGCUAGGUUUUAAAUAACAUGAGAACGAGAGCUUACCGACAUAAAAAACUGCAGAGGAAUAUCAGAAAACAGAACCAAAUUGAGACGUUUUACAAUUUGUUUAUAAGUUUCACCCUUAAUUAAUCAGAUAUUUACACUAAAAGUGCAAGUGUUUUGAACAGAACUCUCGUUGGCGAGGAAGACAUAAAGGAUACACAAGUGGGAACUUGUACAGGAAAUUCCUAGCGUUAAAUCUAUACGUACAGUAAAAUUUACAUUUACUGGUAUGCGUUGUCGUUAUUUACACAAAAAUCAUAUUACCCCCACAACAAGGUGUAACAACUAAACUGAACACACCCAGAUACUGGAUAACCUCAAGAGAGUUACUGGUAAAAACACAUACAAAAUAUAUGUAAAGAAUGUUAACAAAGCUGUUAACGAUAGAGCUGCGAUUAAACGUCAUAAUUAGUUACCCCUAGCGUUACACAAUAACGCUACAGAGUUGUAAUCGCUGAAUCAAUGUGAGUUAUCAAUACUACUACUGAGCAAAUAAACAGUCAAUAGAGAGUUACUAUUUACGGCAUUACCUCAUAACUAUUAAUUGAUAAAGUACACUUUUUAUUGUAGACUCAGGGCAGGAGGUAAGAUAAGUGAUUGAUCAUCACACAUAAUCCGUAAACUUACCGAGGGAGCUUUCCUGAACAGGAUCAAAUUCGACACUUCAAGAGAGUAGGUUUCCAUUAACAUUAAAAAUACCACACUCACUUAUACGUUGUUAUCUAUUUAAUUCAUUUUCAUUGAUCACCUGAUAUAGUCUAAAAAAGAAAGUAACUUAGAUUUGAAAUUUUUUUCACAACAGAAACAUUCUGAGUAGCAAAUCCAACACACAGACAGACAACUAGUUCUGUAAGGUACUGAAAAGAGAAAUUCCAAGAAUUAGUUGCCGUUACUAUUUAUCGUAUGUAAAAUUCUAACUAAAAAUGUAUACCAAUCAAUUCGAGCUGAAUACGGCUCUUUUUAGUGAUUUACUUUGUUGAGUUUAAAUGUUGAAAGUUUGAAAGAAUGAAUAAUUUAUAAUGUUGACCUCCUUAAUGUCAUAAGAGCUAUGGGAAGUUUGUGAUUUAUACAACUUCCCACACUAUUAAAAUAAAUUCUGAGGAGGAUUCUAGUCUGGAAAUGUGGUCAGAAAUUAUUCUCCUCAGAGCAGACAAGAGAAGAAUUAUCAUUUACCACUAGCACUAGGCAUAACUUAUUACAGUAUUUUAUAGGUUAACUGUUUUAGCAUAAGUUAAAAACACAUUAUCUUUUCCCAACAACAAAUGUGUUUCCUAAAUCACACCAGUAAAUCUCUAAAAGAUCGAGUAUCCGAUAGCACAAAAUUCGUGAACUCAGGUUCACUACAAAGAUCAUUGUGGGUUGACGAGAAGAAAUAUCGUGGAUUUGAUCUAAAAUAAGAAAAGAAUCCUUAUUGUAUGUGUUAUUUCGUUGUAAUCAUGGAUUAAUUAGGAGGAAGGAAUUCCACUCAGGUACUCAAUUUUACUUCUUUUGUUGUUUUUUAAGUAAGUGACAGAUUUGUUGUCAAAGACAAGAUUUUACUUCCUUCAGUUAGAGUAAUAUUAAAAGGUUAUCAAAAUUUAGCAAUAGAAAUUAUACAAGUGAUGCACAAAUUAUUCUUAUAUUGUCUUUAUUUCUGAUUAUCUCUUCUUAAGUCUAGCACAAUUUUUGUACAAUAAAGAUUGGACACUUAUUUCAUCUUAAUAUUACUCGCUAAGAAAACCCACAUGAAAAUUUGAUUCAAGUGAAAGCAUUGCCAUAUUAAAAAUUACCUAGAAUUUAAUUAUGCAUUUUAAUUCAACAGAUUUUGCGGAUGUAUUUUCACUAUGAUUCAUCUAUUAUGCAUGUACUUUGAUUAUUGUAUAAUUUCUGGGUCUCUGUUGAAAAUUGAGUUAAUUGUCUGACUAAUUUAUUUAGCAAUUAAAAAAAAGAUAAUAUUUUUCUUGGUGUCAUUUGGGAAGGGUGCAGUACAAUGUGUGUGAGGCAUUCUGCAUUUUGUUUUAACUCUUGUGAACUUCCUACACUCUCGUCUGCUCUGAGGAAGUAGUGAAUUAUUAGCAGUGAGACUAAUUGGUUUCCCUUCAAUUCGUCUUAUUCGUAGCCUCUAAUUAAUUACUCAUCA